rnacentral:misc_RNA from 1 species
UUUCCGUAGGUGAACCUGCGGAAGGAUCAUUAUCGUACUAUAUGUGAGGGGCAUGCGACGGCUGUCGCUGACCCAAAAGUUGUGCUUGCACGAGUGUGUCUUCUUGCUUAAUAAUUCAUCUCACUCUUUAUGCAUCACCGCUUGGGCACCCUUUGGGAUCAUCUCGGUCGAGGGCUAGCGGUUUCACACCAAUCCCCCUUAUACAAGCGUAGUAUGUACACGUUUAUGCUAAAUAUUCAAAUUUUAACAACGGACCUCUUGGCUCCCGCAACGAUGUAA